GACGAACGCUGGCGGCGGGCCUAAUACAUGCAAGUAGAACGCUGAAGGCGGAGCUUGCUUCUCUGGAUGAGUUGCGAACGGGUGAGUAACGCGUAGGUAACCUGCCUGGUAGCGGGGGAUAACUAUUGGAAACGAUAGCUAAUACCGCAUAAGAGUAGAUGGUGAAUGACAUUUGCUCAAAAGGUGCAAUUGUUUCACUAGCAGUUGGACCUGCGUUGUAUUAGCUAGUUGGUGGGUUAACGGCUCACCAAGGGGACGAUACGUAGCCGACCAGAGAGGGGGCGAGCCCACGCUGGUAUGGGAACACGGUCCACACCCCUGCGAGAGGCACCCGUAGGGGAUCUUUGGGAGUGGCAGGAAUUCUGAACGAGCGACACCGGGGGAGAGAAGAAGCUUGUCGUGUCGUAAAGCUCUUUUAUGAGAUAGGAACGAAUAUCAGAGUGGGAAGUGCACACAGUGACGGUAUCUGAACAGAAAGCCACGGCUAACUACGUG
rnacentral:rRNA from 1 species